GUUAUCCGGAUUUAUUGGGUUUAAAGGGAGCGUAGGCCGGAGAUUAAGCGUGUUGUGAAAUGUAGACGCUCAACGUCUGCACUGCAGCGCGAACUGGUUUCCUUGAGUACGCAUAAAGUGGGCGGAAUUCGUGGUGUAGCGGUGAAAUGCUUAGAUAUCACGAAGAACUCCGAUUGCGAAGGCAGCUCACUGGGGCGCAACUGACGCUGAAGCUCGAAAGCGCGGGUAUCGAACAGGAUUAGAUACCCUGGUAGUCCGCGCGGUAAACGAUGGAUGCCCGCUGUUGGGCCAACUGGUUCAGCGGCCAAGCGAAAGCAUUAAGCAUCCCACCUGGGGAGUACGCCGGCAACGGUGAAACUCAAGGGAAUUGACGGGGGCCCGCACAAGCGGAGGAACAUGUGGUUUAAUUCGAUGAUACGCGAGGAACCUUACCCGGGCUUGAAUUGCAGAGGAAGGAUUUGGAGACAAUGACGCCCUUCGGGGCCUCUGUGAAGGUGCUGCAUGGUUGUCGUCAGCUCGUGCCG
rnacentral:rRNA from 1 species